rnacentral:rRNA from 1 species
UUGAACGCUGGCGGCAGGCCUAACACAUGCAAGUCGAGCGGUAGCACAGAGAGCUUGCUCUCGGGUGACGAGCGGCGGACGGGUGAGUAAUGUCUGGGAAACUGCCUGAUGGAGGGGGAUAACUACUGGAAACGGUAGCUAAUACCGCAUAACGUCGCAAGACCAAAGUGGGGGACCUUCGGGCCUCAUGCCAUCAGAUGUGCCCAGAUGGGAUUAGCUAGUAGGUGGGGUAACGGCUCACCUAGGCGACGAUCCCUAGCUGGUCUGAGAGGAUGACCAGCCACACUGGAACUGAGACACGGUCCAGACUCCUACGGGAGGCAGCAGUGGGGAAUAUUGCACAAUGGGCGCAAGCCUGAUGCAGCCAUGCCGCGUGUGUGAAGAAGGCCUUCGGGUUGUAAAGCACUUUCAGCGGGGAGGAAGGCGGUGAGGUUAAUAACCUCACCGAUUGACGUUACCCGCAGAAGAAGCACCGGCUAACUCCGUGCCAGCAGCCGCGGUAAUACGGAGGGUGCAAGCGUUAAUCGGAAUUACUGGGCGUAAAGCGCACGCAGGCGGUCUGUCAAGUCGGAUGUGAAAUCCCCGGGCUCAACCUGGGAACUGCAUUCGAAACUGGCAGGCUAGAGUCUUGUAGAGGGGGGUAGAAUUCCAGGUGGAGCGGUGAAAGGCGUAGAGAUAUGGAGGAAUACCGGUGGCGAAGGCGGCCCCCUGGACAAAGACUGACGCUCAGGUGCGAAAGCGUGGGGAGCAAACAGGAUUAGAUACCCUGGUAGUCCACGCCGUAAACGAUGUCGAUUUGGAGGUUGUGCCCUUGAGGCGUGGCUUCCGGAGCUAACGCGUUAAAUCGACCGCCUGGGGAGUACGGCCGCAAGGUUAAAACUCAAAUGAAUUGACGGGGGCCCGCACAAGCGGUGGAGCAUGUGGUUUAAUUCGAUGCAACGCGAAGAACCUUACCUGGUCUUGACAUCCACAGAACUUUCCAGAGAUGGAUUGGUGCCUUCGGGAACUGUGAGACAGGUGCUGCAUGGCUGUCGUCAGCUCGUGUUGUGAAAUGUUGGGUUAAGUCCCGCAACGAGCGCAACCCUUAUCCUUUGUUGCCAGCGGUUAGGCCGGGAACUCAAAGGAGACUGCCAGUGAUAAACUGGAGGAAGGUGGGGAUGACGUCAAGUCAUCAUGGCCCUUACGACCAGGGCUACACACGUGCUACAAUGGCAUAUACAAAGAGAAGCGACCUCGCGAGAGCAAGCGGACCUCAUAAAGUAUGUCGUAGUCCGGAUUGGAGUCUGCAACUCGACUCCAUGAAGUCGGAAUCGCUAGUAAUCGUAGAUCAGAAUGCUACGGUGAAUACGUUCCCGGGCCUUGUACACACCGCCCGUCACACCAUGGGAGUGGGUUGCAAAAGAAGUAGGUAGCUUAACCUUCGGGAGGGCGCUUACCACUUUGUGAUUCAUGACUGGGGUG